rnacentral:rRNA from 1 species
AGCCGCGGUAAUACGGAGGGGGCUAGCGUUGUUCGGAAUUACUGGGCGUAAAGCGCACGUAGGCGGCUUUCCAAGUUGGGGGUGAAAUCCCGGGGCUCAACCCCGGAACUGCCCUUGAAACUGCAGCGCUAGAAUCUUGGAGAGGCGAGUGGAAUUCCGAGUGUAGAGGUGAAAUUCGUAGAUAUUCGGAAGAACACCAGUGGCGAAGGCGACUCGCUGGACAAGUAUUGACGCUGAGGUGCGAAAGCGUGGGGAGCAAACA